rnacentral:rRNA from 1 species
GACGAACGCUGGCGGCGUGCUUAACACAUGCAAGUCGAACGAUGAACCCGGAGCUUUCUCUGGGGGAUUAGUGGCGAACGGGUGAGUAACACGUGAGUAACCUGCCCUUGACUCUGGGAUAAGCGCUGGAAACGACGUCUAAUACCGGAUAGGAGCUUGGACCGCAUGAUGUGGGGUGGAAAGUUUGUUCGGUCGGGGAUGGACUCGCGGCCUAUCAGCUUGUUGGUGAGGUAGUGGCUCACCAAGGCGUCGACGGGUAGCCGGCCUGAGAGGGUGACCGGCCAGGCUGAGACGGAGAGACGGACCGGCCUCCUACGGGAGGGAGGCGUGGGGAGGGAUGCAUGAUGGACGGGCGGCAGACGCAGCAAGGCAGCGCGCGGGAUGGCGGCCUGCGGUUUGGAUGCCGAUCUUAUUCGGGAAGAAAGGCUUCGGCUUGACGGUACCUGCAGAAAAAGGACCGGCUAACUACGUG